AAAAAUAGGUUUACUACUUUAACACAACAAGCACCCUUCAUAAGUGACAAUGAAGGGCAUUAAUUAGAGAGUAAACUCGGUUCUGAAUACGCGAAAGCGAUAAUUCCUGUUAAAUUGAUUCUUCUCAAAGUAGAAAAUAUUUCCCCAUAAGUAGUUCUAUUUAGAAAAAAUUGGAGUAUCUCCUAACUAAUGUGAAUUACAUCCGAGCUUGCAUUUUUUAUUUGAAUUUAUU
rnacentral:lncRNA from 1 species